AUGGGUAACCUACCCCGGGGACUGGGAUAGCCUUUCUAACGAGAGGGUAAUACCGGGCGAUGUAGCGGAGGGGCAUCUCUCUGCUACGAGAUGAAUUUCGCCUCGGGAGGGGCUCAUGUAGUAUUAGCUAGUUGGUAGGGUAAUGGCCUACCAAGGCUGAGAUGCUUAGCGGGUGUGAGAGCACGACCCGCGCCACUGGCACUGAGACACUGGCCAGACUCCUACGGGAGGCUGCAGUCGAGGAUCUUCGGCAAUGGGCGCAAGCCUGACCGAGCGACGCCGCGUGGACGAUGAAGGCCUUCGGGUUGUAAAGUCCUUUAGUGGGGGAGGAAGGCGCAAGCUUGACCUAUCCCAAGAAUAAGCACGGGCUAAGUUCGUGCCAGCAACCGCGGUAAGACGAACCGUGCGAACGUUGUUCGGAAUCACUGGGCUUAAAGGGCGCGUAGGCGGUCUGCCAAGUCCGGGGUGAAAGCCCCCAGCUCAACUGGGGAAGUGCCUUGGAUACUGGCGGACUC
rnacentral:rRNA from 1 species